AUUGAACGCUGGCGGCAUGCCUUACACAUGCAAGUCGAACGGCAGCGCGGGAGCAAUCCUGGCGGCGAGUGGCGAACGGGUGAGUAAUACAUCGGAACGUGCCCAAUCGUGGGGGAUAACGCAGCGAAAGCUGUGCUAAUACCGCAUACGAUCUACGGAUGAAAGCAGGGGAUCGCAAGACCUUGCGCGAUUGGAGCGGCCGAUGGCAGAUUAGGUAGUUGGUGAGGUAAAGGCUCACCAAGCCUUCGAUCUGUAGCUGGUCUGAGAGGACGACCAGCCACACUGGGACUGAGACGCGGCCCAGACUCCUACGGGAGGCAGCAGUGGGGAAUUUUGGACAAUGGGCGAAAGCCUGAUCCAGCCAUGCCGCGUGCAGGAUGAAGGCCUUCGGGUUGUAAACUGCUUUUGUACGGAACGAAACGGUCUUUUCUAAUAAAGAAGGCUAAUGACGGUACCGUAAGAAUAAGCACCGGCUAACUACGUG
rnacentral:rRNA from 1 species